CCCGUGGACGGCCAAUCACAGGCGGGUUUUCCGGCUCUUCCUGGUCCCUACUCUCGCCUCGUGCUGAGUCCUCGAAUCACCUGCCAUGGACACAAUUGGAAACAGUGGUUAUUUUACCAACGCUUUGACUGGAAUGGCACGUUUUCCUUUAAGGAAUCAAACUUGACUUGUAAAGCCAAUAAAAGCCCCUUGGGGAAUUGGCCUCAGACCUUGUCUACAACAGCCCCUGUACAGGGUUUCUGACCUGUGAUAUCACCUUUUGUCAAAACUCGGAGUUAUGAAUUGCCCUCGCCAUACUGAUGCUUUCUGACUGAGCUCCUCUCUACCCUGAAUACAAGAGACUCUCAUAGUUAAGCAAGAAUAUCAUUGCUCCUAUUCAGCAUGAAGAAGUUACAGAAGAUGGAUUUUCAACCCUCUGCAACCCUUAGGAUUAAAAUUAUACAAACCUUUAGGAUUAUAAAAGGGAGGGGGUAAUGUCAGGCGUGUGAACCAGAGCAACUCCAUUUUGAGUAGAAGCUGUGUAAAACGAGGCUGAAACCUACUAGGCUGCAUUCCCAGACAGUUAAGGCAUUCUAAGUCACAGGAUGAGAUAGGAGGCUGGCAUAAAAUACAGGUCAUAAACAGCUUGCAGAUAAAACAGGUUGCAGUAAAGAAGCUGGCUAAAACCCACCAAAACCUAGAUGGUGACAAGAGUCACUUCUUAUCAUCCUCACUGCUACACUCCCACCAGUGCCAUGAUAGUUUACAGAUGCCAUGGCAACAUCAGGACAUUACC
rnacentral:lncRNA from 1 species